CCUGAUAACGUGGAUGAGGAUGAAGCUGAGAAUUAUGAUGACGCCAUUACAGCUGAUCAGAAGUCAGUUCUACUGACAGAGGACGUGUGUGAGAACUAUGAUGAUGCAGUUACUGCUGAAACAAACCCAAACAUCAUCACAGGUCAGUUUUUUUCUGCAAAUAUACAAAAGGAAAGAAAAGCUGAUGAGGGAACCACUGUUUCUAGCUGCUAUGAAAUAAGUGAGAAAAGGAAGGAACU